AGCGAACGCUGGCGGCAGGCCUAACACAUGCAAGUCGAACGAAGUCUUCGGACUUAGUGGCGGACGGGUGAGUAACACGUGGGAACGUGCCUUUAGGUUCGGAAUAACUCAGGGAAACUUGUGCUAAUACCGAAUGUGCCCUUCGGGGGAAAGAUUUAUCGCCUUUAGAGCGGCCCGCGUCUGAUUAGCUAGUUGGUGAGGUAAAGGCUCACCAAGGCUACGAUCAGUAGCUGGUCUGAGAGGAUGACCAGCCCCAUUGGGACUGAGACACGGCCCAAACUCCUACGGGAGGCAGCAGUGGGGAAUCUUGCGCAAUGGGCGAAAGCUUGACGCAGCCAUGCCGCGUGGAUGAUGAAGGUCUUAGGAUUGUAAAAUCCUUUCACCGGUGAAGAUAAUGACUGUAGCCGGAGAAGAAGCCCCGGCUAACUUCGUGCCAGCCGCCGCGGUAAAAC
rnacentral:rRNA from 1 species